rnacentral:rRNA from 1 species
GAUGAACGCUGGCGGCGUGCCUAAUACAUGCAAGUCGAGCGAACGGACGAGAAGCUUGCUUCUCUGAUGUUAGCGGCGGACGGGUGAGUAACACGUGGAUAACCUACCUAUAAGACUGGGAUAACUUCGGGAAACCGGAGCUAAUACCGGAUAAUAUUUUGAACCGCAUGGUUCAAAAGUGAAAGACGGUCUUGCUGUCACUUAUAGAUGGAUCCGCGCUGCAUUAGCUAGUUGGUAAGGUAACGGCUUACCAAGGCAACGAUGCAUAGCCGACCUGAGAGGGUGAUCGGCCACACUGGAACUGAGACACGGUCCAGACUCCUACGGGAGGCAGCAGUAGGGAAUCUUCCGCAAUGGGCGAAAGCCUGACGUAGCAACGCCGCGUGAGUGAUGAAGGUCUUCGGAUCGUAAAACUCUGUUAUUAGGGAAGAACAUAUGUGUAAGUAACUGUGCACAUCUUGACGGUACCUAAGCAGAAAGCCACGGCUAACUACGU